rnacentral:rRNA from 1 species
GACGAACGCUGGGGGCGUGCUUAACACAUGCAAGUCGAACGGAAAGGCCCUGCUUGCAGGGUACUCGAGUGGCGAACGGGUGAGUAACACGUGGGUGAUCUGCCCUGCACUUCGGGAUAAGCCUGGGAAACUGGGUCUAAUACCGGAUAGGAGCCAUUUUUAGUGUGAUGGUUGGAAAGUUUUUUCGGUGUAGGAUGAGCUCGCGGCCUAUCAGCUUGUUGGUGGGGUAAUGGCCUACCAAGGCGGCGACGGGUAGCCGGCCUGAGAGGGUGGACGGCCACAUUGGGACUGAGAUACGGCCCAGACUCCUACGGGAGGCAGCGGUGGGGAAUAUUGCACAAUGGGCGCAAGCCUGAUGCAGCGACGCCGCGUGGGGGAUGACGGCCUUCGGGUUGUAAACUCCUUUCGCUAGGGACGAAGCUUUUUGUGACGGUACCUAGAUAAGAAGCACCGGCUAACUACGUG